rnacentral:misc_RNA from 1 species
UUCUAACACUGACACAGUAUGCCUUGAUUGUUAAACCGUUUAAAUUUCAAUCAAUAGAUCCGCGAAGAAAUACGACGACCAUUGCUUUUAUAUUUGCAUCAACUGGUUUGUGGUUGCUACAGUGAUGAUAAUCGCUCCUAACUUCGUUGACGAUUUUGAUGAAUAUUUGAAAGUAAUGGUUCUGUUGCUCGUCUGUUUAUUCUGGAUAAUGACUGUAGUCAUUGCAUACAUGUACAUACGCACCUUAUACACGCUUUGGAAAAGAAGCGAUACUCUUAAAGAAAGGUUAAAUGUUUCAGAAACACAGCAAGGAAGUGUAAUCAUUACUCAAAACAUCCACUUAGCAAAAACAAUGUUCUUCUUCAUAAUGAGCGUAGUUCUCUCCACCCUGAUAUCAAAUACUGCGUAUCUGUUUCUCCUAUAUUGUAAGGAAUGUGAUCAAGAUACUGUAGCGAAGGUGUGCCUGUAUACAAUGCCGUUGUUCAUGGCCAUACCAGCCAUCAUACUUCCAAUGAAUUGGAUAAUAGGAACACCACAGUACUGGAAAGAAUUUAAGAAACGAGUUUGCAAACUAGCAAUAUGCCACCGUGUUGGAGACAUUGAAACUAUACAGUCGCCCAAAAAUUAACUAUUUUAUUAAUUAAAAAAACUGAAAUGCUUAAUGACAUGCAUAGCUCUCGUCAACUAGGCUGUCAGGUCUUCCAGAGAAAAUUGAUCUGAACUGGGCGAGGUUUAAAUCCGGAAGAAACGUUUCAUAACGCGAGUUACGCUUUACGGUUACUGCAGAAAGAGCAGCAAGAGGUGUGACAAUAGGUGAUGAAGUCCUCCUAGUUUAUUCCAAACUGUUUCUGAUUGUCGGAUAGAUAUAACUAUUUCAGUGUGUAAUGUAUAAAUAAUAUAAAUAAAAUGCUUCAUGGGUAACUUUCUGUUAAGAAUCCUAUUGGGGGAAAUUUUCAUUGCGACAAUGUUAAAACUUCUGGAGCCGGUUGUACGAAUGGUGGAUAGCGCUAUCCACGGAUAGUGGUUUUUUUUCAAUCGCUCUAAAAUUACUCGUUGUUUGGCCUAGAUUAAUAAACCUUGAUAUUCUUAAGUUGGGGGUUCUUUUUCAAAACUGUCGGCUCCAAAUCUGUAAUUUCAUUGCUUUUCAGGCAUGUUUAAAACGGUUGAAAAAAUCACAAUCCGGUGGAUAGCGCUAUCCGCCUUUCGUACAACCUGCCCCUUGACCUGCAUGUAAUGACGAGAACUCCUAUAAAAUAGACUUCGUAUUAAUUGUAUAUUACUCUAAUUACAAAUGUUUGAUAGUGAUGCGCAGAUUGUUAAAUGACGCAGUUUUGCGGUCAUUACCAUUUAAUUAUCCGGUCUAAUACUUUCUGAGUUAAUAUUUAAUGAGAAAACCUUUGUUUUAACUUUAUUUUAACUGUGACAAAACGGUCUUCUUGCAUAAGCAUAUGAAACGUGAUAGAAACAAAAUGCACUGUUCUGACAAAGCAGGUGACAUCGGUUUAAAGAUUUAACUAUACAGAAACUAAGAACAUUAUACUAUCACAGGAUGAAGGUUUAGGAAGAUGAAUUGCUGAAUAAGAGGUAUAGAACAACGUAUCUUUUGGUCGCAAUACUGGCAACUAUAUGGCCUACUGAUUAUUCCUUCUUGGAUUGCUUGACAGUUUCCUAUGGUCUAUAUUUGUUGCUAAUUGCCUAUUUGAAGUUUACUGGAUGAAUAACGGAACUCGGCUAAUUCGGUGGUGGAGAUCAGAUGCUACCGAUCCAAAUCCUUGAUUACGACGUUUCGUUGUUUUGUAUCACUGUCAGUGUCAUUAAUCCAUCAUAACUGCAAGUUACCCAUGCAAUGUCUCUAAAUUCAACAAACAUCUCAGGUUUCCAAGGAUAUUUUGCACUUUCUUGGUUUCUUUUACCAAUAAAGCCAGAGGAAAACACUCAAGUUAUUCUGGUUUUAAAAGAUAUAUUAAUCAUAACUGGCAUAAUACUGAAUAUUGUGCUACUGUGGAUGAUAUGGAGAAACCCAGGUAAAAAACCACGCAAUAGCAGAGCGCUGUUGUUGGCAAAUCUUAGCAUCGUUAAUCUUAUCGCAACUAUCUUCGGUCUUAUCUGCAGCAUCGAGGAUAAAAUCAAAUCCUACAGGAUCUGUACUUUCAAAGCUGGUGCCAUUGCAAUAUCCUUAGUCUUACCCAAGUACUAUCCAAGCGUGCUUCUUCUAACACUGAUACAAUAUGCAUUGAUUGUUAAACCGUUGGAAUUCAAAACAAUAGAUCCCCGAAAAAUUAGAACGACGAAAAUUUUCAUCUGCAUUCACUGGAUAGUGGUAACUACAGUGAUGAUAAUACUUCCUAUCUUGACUGACGAUUUUAAUAAGUAUUUGAAAGUAAUUGUCAUGUUACUCGUGUUGUUAUCCUGGAUAUCGACUACAGCCAUUGCAUACAUGUGCGUACGCACCUUAUAUACGCUUUGGAAAAGGAACGACAAUCUUAGAAAAAGGUUCAAUGCAUCAGCAACACAGCAAGGGCUUGUAGUCAUUGGUCAAAACAUGCGCUUGGCAAGAACAACGUUUUUCUUCAUAGUGACCUUGUUUUUUUUCACCCUAAUAUCAAAUACAGCGUAUAUGUUUCUUCUAUAUUGUCCAGAAUGUGAUAAACGUGUUUUGGUGAAAGUGUGUUUUUACACAAUACCAAUGUUUCUUGCCGUGCCAGCCAUGCUUCCAAUCAAUUGGUUAAUCGGAACGCCACAGUAUUGGAAUGAAGUUAAGAAACAGAUUCGUAAACUAUUAGUAUAUUUUGGUUGUGUGGGUGACAAUCAAAACUAAACUAAUCGCUUGAAUUAAACUUUAACGUGCAGCAAGACAGUGACGCACAGGUUCAAAAUGGAGGAAUGAAGGAUAAUAACCCGAACAGAUAGUCGAACGAUUGCAAGUUUAAUGCAAAUUUCAUCAAUCAAUCCGCCUGGGAAACCUAUAUCAGGCUAUUCAAUAUAUAAAUUUAGACUACGGCAUUGUUUUAUAACCCUAAUUUUGUCAUCCUCGUAUGUAAUAAAACGUGCACUUGUUGGGAUCUCAAAAAUAGUCUGAACCAUAUAAUUUCUCAUGGUGCUAAAACCAUUACCAUGCAUAAAGAAUCAAUUACUUGCGCCCACAAUAUAAAAUAUAUAGACAUGCAUGAUUGUGUAGUCCAACGCCACCCGACCGAUUUAUCGGCUCCAAAUCUGUAAAUUCAUUGCUUUUCAGGCAUGUUUAAAACGGUUGAAAAAAUCACAAUCCGGUGGAUAGCUCUAUCCACCUUUCGUGCAACCUGCCCCUGGCCUGCAUGUAAUGACGAGAACUCCUAUAAUUAGACUUCGUAUUAAUUGUAUAUUACUCUAAUUACAAAUGUUUGAUAGUGAUACGCAGAUUGUCAAAUGACGCAGUUUUGCGUUCAUUACCAUUUAAUUAUCCGGUCUAAUACUUUCCGAGUUGAUAUUUAAUGAAAACAAAGAAUUUAAUGAAAACAAAGAAUUUUAACUGUGACAUGAUGGUCUUCUUGCAUGCAUAAGCGUACGAAACGUGAUAGAAACAAAAUUCAUGCACUGUUCUGACAUACCAGGUGACAUCGGUUUAAAGAUUUAACUAUACAGAAACUAAGAACAUUAUACUAUCAAAGGAUGAAGGUUUAGGAAGAUGAACUGCUGAAUAAAAGCCUUCUUGGAUUGCUUGACAGUUUCCUAUGGUACUCGACUUAUUGGGUGGUGGAGAUCAGAUGCUACCGAUCCAAAUCCUUGUUAACAAAGUUUCGUUGUUUCGUAUCACUGUCAGUGUCAUUAAUCAUAACUGCAAGUUACCCAUGCAAUGUCUCCAAAUUCAACAAACAUUUCAGGUUUCCAAGAAUAUUUCGCACUUGCUUGGUUUCUUUUACCAAUAGAGCCAGACGAAAACACUCAAGUUAUUCUGGUUUUAAACGAUAUAACAACCAUAACUGGCAUAAUACUGAAUAUUGUGCUACUGUGGAUGAUAUGGAAAAACCCAGGUAAAAAACCACGCAAUAGCAGAGCGCUGUUGUUGGCAAAUCUUAGCAUCGUUAAUCUUAUCGCAACUAUCUUCGGUCUUAUCUGCGGCAUCGAGGAUAAAAUCAAAUCCUACAGGAUCUGUACUUUCAAAGCUGGGGCCAUUGCAACAUCCUUAGUCUUACCCAAGUACUAUCCAAGCGUGCUUCUUCUAACACUGAUACAAUAUUCAUUGAUUGUUAAACCGUUGGAAUUCCAAACAA